rnacentral:rRNA from 1 species
AUGCUGGGCGGGCUCCUCAGGUUCCUCUCGGCGUGCGGCGGGUCCUGGCAGACCUCGCCCGCGCCGCCCCACGCCGCGCCCCCGCCGCCCUCCGACCCCUCCUCCGACGCCUCUGAGGGCCGCGACGGCCUGCUCUGGUGGCGCGACCUCGCGCGCUGCGCCGCGGGCGACGUCUCCGCCGCGCUCGUCCAGGCCAACCAGACGCUCGAGGACCAGUGCCGCAUCCACUCCGCCCCGCCCCUCGGCACCGUGCUCGCCGUCCUCGACGGCCACGCCGGCCACGCCGCCGCCCGCUUCGCCUGCGACCACCUCGUCCCCACCCUCCUAGAGGCCGCGUCCGGCCCGGGGGGCGUCACGGCGGACGCCAUCAGGGACGCCUUCGCGGCCACGGAGGCGGCCUUCAUCGCGCAGGUCUCCAGCCAGUGGGACACCAACCCGGACCUCGCCACCGUCGGCUCCUGCUGCCUCGUCGGCGUCGUGCACGAGCAGACCCUCUUCGUCGCCAACCUGGGGGACUCCCGGGCCGUCCUGGGGAAGAAGGUGGGCCGCUCCGGCCAGAUCGUCGCCGAGCAGCUCUCCGCCGAGCACAACGCCAAUGACGAGGCCGUCCGGCAGGAGCUCAUGGCCCAGCACCCCGAUGACCCGCAGAUCGUCGCGCUCAAGCAUGGGGUCUGGAGAGUGAAGGGCAUCAUACAGGUGUCGCGGUCACUCGGUGAUGCGUACCUGAAAGACGCAAAGUAUAACACGGACCGGAUCAAACCCAAGUUCAGAGUCUCUGAACCAUUCAGCAGACCUAUAAUGAGUGCCGAACCAACGAUCGUCUCGCACAGCCUUGAACCGAGUGACUGUUUCGUCAUAUUUGCCUCAGAUGGCUUGUGGGAGCACUUGACUAACCAGGAAGCCGUAGAGAUUGUUCACAACAAUCAACGCGCUGGGAGCGCAAAAAGGCUCAUAAAAGCAGCACUCCAAGAAGCAGCGCGGAAGCGUGAGAUGCGGUACUCAGACCUCAUGAGGAUCGACAAGAAAGUCCGCCGGCAUUUCCACGACGACAUCACUGUCAUCGUCCUAUUCAUAAAUCAUGAGCUGCUAGCCAAAGGAAAUGCGCAAGUGCCGCCCCUUUCCAUCAGAUCCGCCUUAGACCACUGA